GAUGAACGCUGGCGGCGUGCCUAAUACAUGCAAGUCGAGCGCAGCGGGGACGGGUGAGUAACACGUGGAUAACCUCCUAUAAGACUGGGAUAAGUUCGGGAAACCGGAGCCAAAACGGAUACUUAUAGAUGGUACCUCGCUGCAUUAGCUAGUUGGUAAGGUAACGGCUUACCAAGGCAACGAUGCAUAGCCGACCUGAGAGGGUGAUCGGCCACACUGGAACUGAGACACGGUCCAGACUCCUACGGGAGGCAGCAGUGGGGAAUCUUCCGCAAUGGGCGAAAGCCUGACACAGCAACGCCGCGUGAGUGAUGAAGGUCUUCGGAUCGUAAAGCUCUGUUAUUAGGGAAGCGUUACCUAAUCAGAAAGCCACGGCUAACUACGUGCCAGCCGCCGCGGUAAUAC
rnacentral:rRNA from 1 species